AUGCCAGCGGAGCAAGCCACCCUUGAGCCCACCGGCUCCAACCCAAUCAACUACAUUGGAACCAAGGCUCGGGAGGCGCCUAUGUGGUGGCAUGCAAAUCUUCGUCAAGAUCAUAAACAUGUGAUUUCAAAUGAGGACCAGAAGACGGCAACCCUUGGCGGGAUCCUAGCCGAGGAAAUCCACAAGACCCCCGACAAGACCCUUUCCGGGACUGACUACAACGCCACGGCAAUACCCUUGCUGGGCCCCCGGCAAGACCCUUGCCAAGGGCAUCAGCAGGGCCACUGCCAGGCCCGCCCAGUCAAGACUCCACCACUGUCCCCAAGAAGCUGCUAG
rnacentral:rRNA from 1 species